GAAGCAUGAUGUCCAAGAAAAAGCUGCUAACUUUUUUCUUUAAUGGUUUAAUUCCAUUUAUGCUUUU
rnacentral:tRNA from 1 species